rnacentral:piRNA from 1 species
UACAGGAUAACUCCAGGUCUACAUAUCAAUA